rnacentral:rRNA from 1 species
AAUAGAUACCCUGGUAGUCCACGCCGUAAACGAUGAGUGCUAAGUGUUAGGGGGUUUCCGCCCCUUAGUGCUGCAGCUAACGCAUUAAGCACUCCGCCUGGGGAGUACGGCCGCAAGGCUGAAACUCAAAGGAAUUGACGGGGGCCCGCACAAGCGGUGGAGCAUGUGGUUUAAUUCGAAGCAACGCGAAGAACCUUACCAGGUCUUGACAUCUCCUGGCCGCCCUGGAGACAGGGUCUUCCCUUCGGGGACAGGAUGACAGGUGGUGCAUGGUUGUCGUCAGCUCGUGUCGUGAGAUGUUGGGUUAAGUCCCGCAACGAGCGCAACCCUUGUCCUUAGUUGCCAGCAUUCAGUUGGGCACUCUAAGGAGACUGCCGGCUAAAAGUCGGAGGAAGGUGGGGAUGACGUCAAAUCAUCAUGCCCCUUAUGACCUGGGCUACACACGUGCUACAAUGGGCGGUACAGAGGGUCGCGAACCCGCGAGGGGGAGCCAAUCCCAAAAAACCGCUCUCAGUUCGGAUUGCAGG